CCUGUGUAUACCUGCCUUAAGGGCGGGGAUUCUGCCUCUGGCACUUAGUGCAGUACGAUGCACGUAGUGAGAGACCAGGAAAUUCAGCAACAGAAUCACUGACAGAACAGGUCUAGAAGGAGAUCAUCACAAACUAAACAGGACCCCAAUGGCCAUGAACAGCAGAACCCGCUUAACUGCUGCCUGAAACGUAUUCAAAGAGAUGAAAGUACAGAAGAGUUCUAGCCUAAAGCCCAACAGCAACCGUGGAGAGUCCAGGAACCAACUCAUCAGCCCUGUCAGAGCUCAUCAAAGAUGAGAUGUCUUCCAAUUGUGAAAUCAGCUCAGCACAGAAGAGAUGAGCGUGUGUACUACUUUCCAAAAGAGGAAGUGGAUUCAGAAAACUACUUAUUUUGAUGGGUCAUAACCCCUUUUGAACUACG
rnacentral:lncRNA from 10 species